rnacentral:rRNA from 1 species
GACGAACCGUGCGAACGUUGUUCGGAAUCACUGGGCUUAAAGGGCGCGUAGGCGGACCAGCAAGUCCGGGGUGAAAUCUUUCGGUUCAACCGGAAAAGUGCCUUGGAUACUGCUGGUCUCGAGGGAGGUAGGGGUUUGUGGAACUUCUGGUGGAGCGGUGAAAUGCGUUGAUAUCAGAAGGAACGCCGGUGGCGAAAGCGACGAACUGGACCUCUUCUGACGCUGAGGCGCGAAAGCUAGGGGAGCAAACGGG